UACGUAGGGUGCAAGCGUUGUCCGGAAUUAUUGGGCGUAAAGAGCUCGUAGGCGGUCUGUCGCGUCGGCUGUGAAAACCCGGAGCUCAACUCCGGGCCUGCAGUCGAUACGGGCAAACUAGAGUAUUGCAGGGGAGACUGGAAUUCCUGGUGUAGCGGUGAAAUGCGCAGAUAUCAGGAGGAACACCGAUGGCGAAGGCAGGUCUCUGGGCCACUACUGACGCUGGAGAAGCGGAAAAGCAUGGGGAGCGAACAGG
rnacentral:rRNA from 1 species